GACGAACGCUGGCGGCGUGCCUAAUACAUGCAAGUCGAGCGGACUUAUUUGAGUAGCUUGCUAUUUGGAUAAGUUAGCGGCGGACGGGUGAGUAACACGUGGGUAAUCUGCCUCGUAGUCUGGGAUAACAGGCCGAAAGGUUUGCUAAUACCGGAUGAGUUCGUGUUUCUGCAUAGGGACACGAAGAAAGGGGAAACCCGCUAUGAGAUGAGCCCGCGUCCCAUUAGCUAGUUGGUGGGGUAAAGGCCUACCAAGGCGACGAUGGGUAGCCGGCCUGAGAGGGUGGACGGCCACACUGGGACUGAGACACGGCCCAGACUCCUACGGGGGGCAGCAGUGGGGAAUCUUGCACAAUGGGCGAAAGCCUGAUGCAGCGACGCCGCGUGAGCGAAGAAGGCCUUCGGGUUGUAAAGCUCUGUCUGGAGGGACGAAGGAAGUGACGGUACCUCCGGAGGAAGCCACGGCUAACUACGUGCCAGCAGCCGCGGUAAAAUCACGUAGUA
rnacentral:rRNA from 1 species